rnacentral:piRNA from 1 species
UGGGAUGCUGGAGGACAUCUGGGGGCCAUU